UGUGUGUGUAACGACCAAGAGAAAGAACAAUGGAGCAAACCCUUGUUCAAACUUAAUCCAUCAAAUUGGAGGGCAAUUCGAACCUUGAGUUUGUUCAUGAACGCAUAUUAACGAUCACCAGAACUAGGGGAUCACAAGGCAACUUGGGAAAAGCAUCAGGACACCAAGCUGGGACGAAUGCUCGGUUGACAGAUAAGCUUUAAGAAAAACCAUUAUCAUCUUUUCCAAAGAAUUAUCCUUUCUCCAUUAUGUCCAUGGAGACAAAUCCACCAACCUCCGAGUUAAUGUCGCCGGUCCAUAGUUUCCCCAACAGGUUCAUUGACAACGAUGAAGAACGAAGUGAAGAACGAAAAUCAGAUCGAUCAAUCCCUGAUGAAGAACGUGGUUUUGUGAUGAAGAUGUUAAUAUAUGAAGUCUGAUCCAUGUGGAAACCCCUUCCAGAUCUUGUUCCAUUCCUUUUAGAUCUCCUUUGUCCACAUGUUUCAUAAUGUUAUUACAGAUUUGGAUAUUUGUGAGUUUUUUACACUUUUCUUGUUUAUAUAAAAUAUGAUUUGUAUAUGUUGUUUCAGAUCUUGAUAUUUGUGAGUUUUUUACACUCUUUUAGUUUUAUGCAACAUAUGUUUUCAUAUA